rnacentral:rRNA from 1 species
CGGCGGACGGGUGAGUAACACGUGGAUAACCUACCUAUAAGACUGGGAUAACUUCGGGAAACCGGAGCUAAUACCGAAUAAUAUAUUGAACCGCAUGGUUCAAUAGUGAAAGACGGUUUUGCUGUCACUUAUAGAUGGAUCCGCGCCGCAUUAGCUAGUUGGUAAGGUAACGGCUUACCAAGGCAACGAUGCGUAGCCGACCUGAGAGGGUGAUCGGCCACACUGGAACUGAGACACGGUCCAG